ACAAUUAGUUGGCAGGGGAAGAUGAUGGUAGAGUUGGACGACUAAGAUAUAAAAUUAUUUGAAAUAAAUAUAAAUUCUUAAAAAAACUAAAAAUAAAAAGGUAUAAUUUUUAUUUGAUAUUCCAGCUUUACAAAAAAAAUCAUUUUAGCCCUCCAUUUAAUUUUUUGUUUUUUUAAUCACUAAACUUGCAUUUGAAUCACCCCAAAAGAGAUGGAAAAAUUAACAUUUGCUCACUUUAUUGACAUGGCAUACACG
rnacentral:lncRNA from 1 species